CUUGGUCAUUUAGAGGAAGUAAAAGUCGUAACAAGGUCUCCGUUGGUGAACCAGCGGAGGGAUCAUUACCGAGUUUACAACUCCCAAACCCCUGUGAACAUACCUAUACGUCGCCUCGGCGGGAACAGACGGCCCCGUAACACGGGCCGCCCCCGCCAGAGGACCCCCUAACUCUGUUUCUAUAAUGUUUCUUCUGAGUAAACAAGCGAAUAAAUUAAAACUUUCAACAACGGAUCUCUUGGCUCUGGCAUCGAUGAAGAACGCAGCGAAAUGCGAUAAGUAAUGUGAAUUGCAGAAUUCAGUGAAUCAUCGAAUCUUUGAACGCACAUUGCGCCCGCCAGUAUUCUGGCGGGCAUGCCUGUUCGAGCGUCAUUACAACCCUCAGGCCCCCGGGCCUGGCGUUGGGGAUCAGCGGAAGCCCCCUGCGGGCACAACGCCGUCCCCCAAAUACAGUGGCGGUCCCGCCGCAGCUUCCAUUGCGUAGUAGCUAACACCUCGCAACUGGAGAGCGGCGCGGCCACGCCGUAAAACACCCAACUUCUGAAUGUUGACCUCGAAUCAGGUAGGAAUACCCGCUGAACUUAAGCAUAUCAAUAAGCGGAGGA
rnacentral:rRNA from 1 species